rnacentral:tRNA from 2 species
CAGUAAAUAGUUUAAUGAAAAUAUUAAUUUUGGAGAUUAAUGAUGAGGUUUGGCCUUUUUACUGA